UACGUAGGGGGCAAGCGUUGUCCGGAUUUAUUGGGCGUAAAGAGCGUGUAGGCGGUUUGGUAGGUCCGUUUGUGAAAACUCGAGGCUACAACCUCCGAGACGCCGAUGGAAACCAUCAGACUAAGAGUCCGGGAAGAGGAGAGUGGGAAUUCCGUGGUGUAGCGGUGAAAUGCGCAGAUAUCAGGAAGAACACCCGUGGCUAAGGCGGCUCUCUAGUACGGUACUGACGCUGAGACGCGAAAGCGUGGGGAGCAACAGG
rnacentral:rRNA from 1 species